rnacentral:rRNA from 1 species
GUGGGGAAUCUUGCGCAAUGGGCGAAAGCCUGACGCAGCCAUGCCGCGUGAAUGAUGAAGGUCUUAGGAUUGUAAAAUUCUUUCACCGGGGACGAUAAUGACGGUACCCGGAGAAGAAGCUCCGGCUAACUUCGUGCCAGCAGCCGCGGUAAUACGAAGGGGGCUAGCGUUGCUCGGAAUUACUGGGCGUAAAGGGCGCGUAGGCGGACAGCUUAGUCAGAGGUGAAAGCCCAGGGCUCAACCUUGGAAUUGCCUUUGAUACAGGCUGUCUUGAGUUUGGGAGAGGUGAGUGGAACUCCGAGUGUAGAGGUGAAAUUCGUAGAUAUUCGGAAGAACACCAGUGGCGAAGGCGACUCACUGGCCCAAUACUGACGCUGAGGCGCGAAAGCGUGGGGAGCAAACAGGAUUAGAAACCCUGGUAGUCC